rnacentral:rRNA from 1 species
UGCGCAGGCGGAAGAGUAAGUCAGUGGUGAAAGGCUGCCGCUUAACGGUAGGACUGCCAUUGAUACUGCUUUUCUUGAGUAUGGUUGAGGUAGACGGAAUGUGUGGUGUAGCGGUGAAAUGCAUAGAUAUCACACAGAACACCGAUUGCGAAGGCAGUCUACUAAGCCAUUACUGACGCUGAGGCACGAAAGCGUGGGUAGCGAACAGGAUUAGAUACCCUGGUAGUCC